rnacentral:rRNA from 1 species
UGACCGCUGGCGGCGUGCCUAAUACAUGCAAGUCGAGCGAACAGACGAGGAGCUUGCUCCUCUGACGUUAGCGGCGGACGGGUGAGUAACACGUGGAUAACCUACCUAUAAGACUGGGAUAACUUCGGGAAACCGGAGCUAAUACCGGAUAAUAUAUUUAACCGCAUGGUUCAAUAGUGAAAGACGGUUUUGCUGUCACUUAUAGAUGGAUCCGCGCCGCAUUAGCUAGUUGGUAAGGUAACGGCUUACCAAGGCGACGAUGCGUAGCCGACCUGAGAGGGUGAUCGGCCACACUGGAACUGAGACACGGUCCAGACUCCUACGGGAGGCAGCAGUAGGGAAUCUUCCGCAAUGGGCGAAAGCCUGACGGAGCAACGCCGCGUGAGUGAUGAAGGUCUUCGGAUCGUAAAACUCUGUUAUUAGGGAAGAACAAAUGUGUAAGUAACUAUGCACGUCUUGACGGUACCUAAUCAGAAAGCCACGGCUAACUACGUG